GGCCCGAUGGCAGAGUGGUUAUGCAGCGGUUUGCAAAACCGUGUACGUCGGUUCAAUUCCGGCUCGGGCCUCCA
rnacentral:tRNA from 3 species